GAAUUACAAUAGACACAGGCCUCGGGUCCGUGAGUUUUCCACGAGCCUCUCCUUUGCAAACGGAGUUCACAGCGGAGAAGAGAGAAAGGACGCUGAGAGCACGCGAGCGAGGCCGUGCGUCUGCGGGACUGGUUCGGGGAAUGCGCAGCCCCGCGCCCUUCCAGGGCCAGCGCCACUGCAGCUGUCCCGAGCGGCGUCCCGGCCGUGCUCGCGGUGGUCACACCGCGUCCAACCCCACCCGGCGGCGUCGCGUUCCCCGCGCGCCCGGAGAACCGACAAACACCCCGAGGGCGGCCGCUGGCGGGAGUGGAAGUCGGAGCUCGAGCGCCUCCUGCCCCCCAGCGUCAGUCUGGCUUCGGACGGGUGUGGGCGUCCUUUAAAGGGGGGUUUUUUCUACUGACCGGCCCCCGCCCCUCCCAGACGCUCACGAGGAAGGCUCAGCCGCUGGUUCCUCGAGCAAUCUGGCUCACUUGUGGGUGAUGCUCUUUUCUCUCCAGAAGUAAUGGCCAGGUGAUGAAGUGGAGUAGAAUGGAAUAGGGCCACCCCGCCCUUCUCCCUCCUGAAAUAUCGUUUGGAUUUGGGAAAGAACGGAGUGUAAGGAGCCGGUGGGCCCUUUUAAGUUUCCGUCUAAGCGGGAGGUGUGGGAUUCUGCCCCAGGGAGCCCACGGGGCAGUGUCUGCCCCUGGGGUCAAGAGAUGGAAAGUUCUGGAAUUUUUCAGAGAGAGAGAGAGAGAGAGAGAUUGAUUUAAAAUGAAGCACUCAUCCAAAACAAACGGCAUUAGGUUAAUUGAAUUAAUACCGAGUUUAUCCUCUAUAUUUUGUACUUGGGGGAAGCUUUUAACUCCCCUUGCCAUCGAUGGGUACAUUCCACAAUUUAGUACAAAAUGGACAUUUAGGAUCAUAGGAGGUUUUUCAACACCCAAGAAAUCCUCCUUCACACUGUUCCCCAGUUUCCCACUGGCUUUCACAUUUUUUUGGCAUAUUUUAUAAUUCAUUACGCUUCCUUACCGUUGCGCACAGAAUUCAAGUUGCAGUGCCAAGGGGAAAAAUCUGAUGGUGCCAAACAAGUAGGAAGAUGCACCUGAGGCAGAACAUCAAUGUCAGAAUAUGGAGGAACGUGAUGAACUGGAGACGCUGAGUCAGGAAGUGGAAGGCAGGUCCGGCCCCUGCAGUCAGACCGGAGCAGAGGCGGCAUCUGGUGAGAUCUGACCUGGUUCAAGGUCACUCCGGAGCUCACUUCCAUUUCUCGGGUGGUGAGUCUCCAGGGCAGAUGGCCUCAGAGGCACCUUGAAAAUGCUUACAGAUGAACGAUGGGGGCUUCCUACCCAACACCUUUGACAGUUCUCAACAGAACUUCAUUCUCCGGAGGCUUCCAGACCACGCCUGCCUGUAAGUGCCAAACUAGCUGACCGAGAGCUGGGCUCCGGCCUGGGCUGGACUCCCACCAGCUCUGUGACUGGCGGCACCUCCCCGUCUCGCUGCCGCGGUCAUCUUCUGUGCUCAGGGGGCGGCUGCGAGUCCCCCUUCGGCCCCGGCCCCCUUGGUUAUGGUUCGGUGCCCAGCGUAGGGACGGCCAGGCGUUUUGCGGCCUCGAGCUCCCGGGCCAGAGGCAGCAGCCGUCCUUCUGUCGCCAGGAAGCCGGACUCUGCGCAUAGGCCCCGCGCCUCCGAGGCUGGGUCAGAGCCCGUGCCCGGUGACCAGCGGCUCCUUUGAAAAUACUCGGAACAGCGUUCGCAUUCACCGGUAUGGGCAGCUCACGCACAACACACUAAGAAACUGUUUUUGUUAACCAACAAGAGAAUGAAAAACCUAGCGAUGUGAAAUAAAAUUAAAUUCACUGUGGGGGUACGUGAAUUUUUGAGAUGGAUCUAUUACCACAGGGUACACGGAGUGCGGGAAACAUUUUCCAGACGAAGUUGUGUCCAGGUGGCACUGGCGGUGGAGAAGAGGGGAACCAAGGACUGGGAGCCGGUGGGUUCUUUAAAAAAUGUUUGUUGGUUUGAGAGAGAGAGAGAAACACGGAUACGAGAGAGAAAUACACGCCUCGUCCGGGGAGGAAUCCCCAAACCUAAGCAGCCCAGGAUAUUCGGCAGGCCCUUCCGACUGCUUCUUCUGUGGGGUGGCUGAGCACUGUGGUCGGAGUGGUGGCGACGGCCGUGCCUUCUGGCGGCUUCAAUGAUGGGAACCACGGAGUGCACACUCCUGGGGACCUGCUGGGGCCACACAGACCCUUCCGACUGAGGAAAGAGAAAACCGGGAGGAGGUGGCAGCGGCCAGGGGUCCCUGUGGCUGCAGAGGGCGGGGCCGAGCCCCAGGACCUCAGCGGGGCCUGGCGUCCAGCACAAAAGCCGGCACUUGACUCCUCUGAAAACAGUUUUCCCAAAUAUUUGGCCACGUUAGAAUCUGGUUCUAAAGCCCGUGAUCCUGGGCGUUAAUCGCUGUGGGGUUUCCACCUGUAAGUCUUCAAACAAAACUCAGGAUGAAGUAUAAUUUAAACACGGCUUGAACAAGAGACCACCACUCGGCUGAGCCCAGAAAACCUAAACAACGCACAAGGGAAAAAGUUCUUCUCUUGCACCCUAAUUAAAAAAAAUAAAUUAUGUGAUGACUUCUGCCA